CCUACGGGUGGCAGCAGUGGGGAAUAUUGGACAAUGGGCGAAAGCCUGAUCCAGCCAUGCCGCGUGUGUGAAGAAGGCCUUCGGGUUGUAAAGCACUUUCAGUGGGGAAGAAAGCCUUGGGGCGAAUACCCUCGAGGAAGGACAUCACCCACAGAAGAAGCACCGGCUAACUCCGUGCCAGCAGCCGCGGUAAUACGGAGGGUGCGAGCGUUAAUCGGAAUUACUGGGCGUAAAGCGCGCGUAGGCGGUCUGAUAAGCCGGUUGUGAAAGCCCCGGGCUCAACCUGGGAACGGCAUCCGGAACUGUCAGGCUAGAGUGCAGGAGAGGAAGGUAGAAUUCCCGGUGUAGCGGUGAAAUGCGUAGAGAUCGGGAGGAAUACCAGUGGCGAAGGCGGCCUUCUGGACUGACACUGACGCUGAGGUGCGAAAGCGUGGGUAGCAAACAGGAUUAGAUACCCCGGUAGUC
rnacentral:rRNA from 1 species